rnacentral:lncRNA from 1 species
CCACAGCGUGCAACCCGUCGACGCCAACCAGUCCAAAAAUGCAAACGUUUCCUCUCCGAGCUCUCCAAUCCCAUUUGGUCCAGGCAACGACGACGGGUGCAGCAACACCCCACAUCUCCUCUCAGGCUUCAUUCUGUUCGGGUCAUCGUCAGCGUAGUUUGCAGGCAAGUCAUCGCCAACCUUCAGGUCAUAUGUCCCCGAUCCAAGCUUAUUGGUAUCCGUUUCCUUCGGAGAAAGAUCC